UCCAAAGAAGCUUGAUCAGGUAGUCUAAAAUAAUAAUGGAAGAAUACAUACAAUUCAUUGCCCUGAGGAGGUAUGAUGUUUUGGAGCCCACAACUGGGAAUAGUGGUGGGGUCCAAGGAAGUGCCAUUUGGGCACCUCUGCAUGUGGUGCCACAAAGGAGAUCGCUGCCGAUUUACUGGAAGACGAAGAUCUACCAAUCUCUUCUUAAGGCUGCUCAGGUAUGACUCACAGUCAGAAGGAGUGCAAUUAAUAGUCUCUACAGCCAGUUCCUGGCAGCAGAGGGGAGGACACAAAAUAGUACAUGACAGACCCAGACAAGAAAGCUUCCAACAUGUGGGCUGAGCAAGGAGCUGAUCUGACUCUUGACAGCAUAAAAAAUGACCCAGAGGGAAAGAACAGAGGAAGUGGCAUCCCUGCAACAAGCUUCAGACUUGGAAGUGACUGAAAGACUAAGUGUGCAUGCAAAUGGGACUCGAUGGCAACUCUGGCCACGUCAGUGAUGCUGCACCAAAAAGCACCAGUGAUCAAGAAUUCCGGGCAGGUGCACCCCACAUUCAGAAGCAAAUGGACACUGCCCCUGAAAGCAACAGCCCUGGGUCUAGAGACUGGGGUCAAGAUCCCCGAAAGAUCAACGUCCUCUCAGUUAUGAAGUUCUUUAGUUGUGACUGGAGCCGAAUGCCAGAACUGGGGACCUUCAUGUACCACAGAAGACCCUAGUUGGAGCAGACUCUGCAAGGUGAAGCUACAGAUCGGGGUGGCCCUCCCAUGAGGCAAGCUGAAGUGGUCAUCUCAGGCAGCAGAUUUUUGGGGCACCAGAGAAGUGGUCAGCCAGAUGUCCUUCUGCCCCACUGCAUUCGUAAAGCGGGGAGGGAAGAAGGGUGCACACACAGGGGAUGGCAUUUGACAUCUUACCUCGGGUGCACAGCAAUCUUGAGCCGCCAUUGCCAGAGAUGACCAACAAAUGGCUCUUUGCUCAAACUGCAGUUCAUCUGAUUUCCCUCCCUCCUUCCCCUGAUAUUCUGUCAACAAAGCCACUAAUGUUAAUUAAAAACAUCAAGGACAGCAGCCUUAAUUGGUUUAAUCAGUAAAUUAAUCAACUCAAACUUUAGCAGAUCAAUAAAAAAAGGCCAAUUUUAAUUGAUAGGGCCAAAUUUGUACUGGCUAAACUGAGAAUUAAGUUCACGCGUGAAACUUCACGCUUUUAUUUUUGAAAGCUAUCUUGGUCUUUGUGUGCUACUAUGUCUGGAAGCAAAAAAGAACAGAUUUUAACACUGCCUUCUCUUCUAACAAUGCAUGGUAGCAUUUGACAUCAAAUUAUAAGUUCUUUCAUCCUUCUUUCAGUAUUUCAGACAAGCCUCUUUGUUCAGA